CCAGCACGUUAUGGUGGGCACUCUAAGGAGACUGCCGGUGACAAACCGGAGGAAGGUGGGGAUGACGUCAAGUCAUCAUGGCCCUUACGGCCUGGGCUACACACGUGCUACAAUGGUCGGUACAAAGGGUUGCCAAGCCGCGAGGUGGAGCUAAUCCCAUAAAACCGAUCGUAGUCCGGAUCGCAGUCUGCAACUCGACUGCGUGAAGUCGGAAUCGCUAGUAAUCGUGAAUCAGAAUGUCACGGUGAAUACGUUCCCGGGCCUU
rnacentral:rRNA from 1 species